GACGAACGCUGGCGGCGUGCUUAACACAUGCAAGUCGAACGGAAAGGCCCUGCUUUUGUGGGGUUCUCGAGUGGCGAACGGGUGAGUAACACGUGAGUAACCUGCUCUUGACUUUGGGAUAACUUCAGGAAACUGGGGCUAAUACCGGAUAGGAGCUCCUGCUGCAUGGUGGGGGUUGGAAAGUUUCGGCGGUUGGGGAUGGACUCGCGGCUUAUCAGCUUGUUGGUGGGGUAGUGGCUUACCCAGGCUUUGACGGGUAGCCGGCCUGAGAGGGUGACCGGCCACAUUGGGACUGAGAGACGGACCAGACUCGAACGGGGGGCAGUAGUGGGGAAUAUUGCACAGUGGGCGGGAGCCUGAGGCAGCAACGCCGCGGGCGGGAUGACGGCCUUCGGGUUGUAAACCGCUUUAGCCUGUGACGAAGCGUGAGUGACGGUAAUGGGUAAAGAAGCACCGGCUAACUACGUG
rnacentral:rRNA from 1 species